rnacentral:SRP_RNA from 1 species
GCGUCGGCACCUUGCGACGUCGGUCCGCCAACCAGGUCAGGUCCGAGAGGAAGCAGCCUCCCGCGGUCGCCAACGGGCGCGAGGAACUCCGAGCCGGA